rnacentral:rRNA from 1 species
UACGUAGGGGCCGAGCGUUGUCCGGAGUUACUGGGCGUAAAGCGCGCGCAGGCGGCCUCGCGCGCCCGACGGUGAAAGCCCCCGGCUUAACCGGGGAGAGUCGUUGGGGACGGCCGGAGCUUGAGGGCGGGAGAGGUCGGUGGAAUUCCCGGUGUAGUGGUGAAUGCGUAGAGAUCGGGAGGAACACCUGUGGCGAAGGCGGCCGACUGGGCCGACCC